GUCGGGAACUCAAAGGAGACUGCCGGUGAUAAACCGGAGGAAGGUGGGGAUGACGUCAAGUCAUCAUGGCCCUUACGAGUAGGGCUACACACGUGCUACAAUGGCGCAUACAAAGAGAAGCGACCUCGCGAGAGCAAGCGGACCUCAUAAAGUGCGUCGUAGUCCGGAUUGGAGUCUGCAACUCGACUCCAUGAAGUCGGAAUCGCUAGUAAUCGUGAAUCAGAAUGUCACGGUGAAUACGUUCCCGGGCCUUGUACACACCGCCCGUCACACCAUGGGAGUGGGUUGCAAAAGAAGUAGAUAGCUUAACCUUCGG
rnacentral:ncRNA from 1 species